UACGGAGGGUGCAAGCGUUAAUCGGAAUCACUGGGCGUAAAGCGCGUGCAGGCGGCUUGGUAAGUCGGGUGUGAAAUCCCGGAGCUCAACUCCGGAACUGCACCCGAUACUGCCUCGCUAGAGUCCCGGAGAGGAUGGCGGAAUUUCCGGUGUAGAGGUGAAAUUCGUAGAUAUCGGAAGGAACACCAGCGGCGAAGGCGGCCAUCUGGACGGUGACUGACGCUCAGACGCGAAAGCGCGGGGAGCAAACAGG
rnacentral:rRNA from 1 species